CGUCGCCUACCGCUCAAAAAAGAAGAAAAAGAAAAAACCUCGUCAGGGAAGCACGCCCCGAGCGCGGGCUCUGCCGCCGCCGCCACAAGCCUCCUCCACGCCUCCCCUCCGGUCCGCCCCCCUUUGCUCGUCGUCCCCACAUACCCGCCGCCGCCGCACGACGCAUGAGCCGCACGCCCGCACCCUGCCUCUUCGGAGUCGCCGCCGCCGCCCAGGCCGGGUGGUGAGGCUGGUGGUGGCUGUAGGUAGGUGAUGUAGAUGGAGAUGCGACGCUUGCGGCGGUGCCGGCCGGCUGAUAAUACGUGCAGGUUGCAGCAGCUAAUAGAGACGCUGUCUGUCUCUGUCUAGGAAACUCACUCAUCGCCUGAGAGACAAAUUGGUGAUUCCAUCCAUGGAUUGGUUUGGUUUGGUUGUUCCAUCGAUGAAUCCCAUGCACGUCGGUCUGAUUCACCUGGCUGGUCUCUUCCAUGCUCCGCCACCAUCAGCUUUCUCCACGCCUCGCAACCAUCAGCCUCCUUCACGCCGAUUGAAGAGCUGGCCUAAUCACAAAACACUCCACCACCAUCUGAAGGAAAAAAAAAACCACCACCACCAGCCUCCCUGCUGCUCCGGCUAUGCGGCAGCUACCACUGCGACUCCUGCGCUCUGCGGCGGCCGGAUCACUCCGGAGCCCCACCCUCUCACGUGGCGGCUGUCCUGUCCCUCUAGCGCCACAUCUGUUGGCGGAGGCAGCCGCCACGCCGGCCGAGCUUGCCCGCUGGCUACCGCGGAGAGGGUACUCCCGGUUCGCGAGCGGAUUCACCCCCUUGGAGCCGAAGAAGCUGGGAUCCAUCCUCGACGUCGAGCGCGCCAAGGGCCUCUCCCCCGAACACCUCGUCGCGGCAUGGGAUGACCCCAUAUUUUGUUAUUCCUUUGUGGAGAGGAAGUGGAUGUACCACCAUGUUUAUGCAAGGUCGCUGCCCUCUGCUCUCUCGCGACCACGCCCUCGGGGCAGUUUUCCAUUGCCCAGCGCCCCACACCUCGCCCCACCUCUUCCCUCCCCGCCAGCCACCGCCUGCCUCCAUCUGCACGCGUCGCCGGACCGCCGCGUCCACGCGUAGCCCGGACUGCCGCCCACGCUCCAAGCGCCCGGUCUGCCACGCCCACGCUUGAGGCGCCCAGGCCGCCCCAUCCACGCUCCAGGCGGACCGCGGCGCCCACGCUCGAGGCUCCCGGGCCGCCCCGUCCAUGCUCCAGGCGGACCACGGCGCCAUAGCUCCAGGCGCCCGGACCGCCACGCUCACGCUCCAGCCGCUCGGGCCGCCGCGUCCAUGCACCGCCCGGACACAGGCACCGCCGGUCCUCCACACUGCAGGAUGAGCAAGAGUAAUCCAGACAAAGUUCCAGGAAUGACUACGCAUCGUUCCCCAUUUAAAGACAUAACGAACUCGUCUAUGAUUGAGAAUGCAAAUGUCACUACUAAUAGUCAAGAAGCAAAAAGGAAUACAUUGUAUGCCCGAAUGUCUGAUGAGAAGAGAGCAGCAUUCCUUGAAAAACGUCGUAUGUCCCGACAAGAAAAGAAGUCUCAGGCUCUGAAUAUUGUUAAUGGUCAACUAACAGUUGAGGCACAUGCUCUGUUAGGAUCCAAGGAAUGUACACCUUUGAGAAACAUAACCAACACACACACAAAUGGUAUGUUCAUACUCUGCAUAUCAUAAUUAUUGAAUGACCAUUUGCUCAUUUUGCUAGGAGGUUUGUCUCCUGCGUUGUGUCAGAUGCAACAUGUACUGAAGCCGCAGGACACCCUUGAACAGCGGGAUCUGCCGCCUCCCUUGGACUUCGCCGGCAAGGCGUGAUCCGUCGUCGCCACCCACUCCUCCCAUGGGAGGAUGCGGCUGCUAUCAUCAACCUCCGCUCCAUGGGCGUGCUCCCAAAUUCAAUAUGUUAGAUUUGCAGAGACUGAUGUUGCAUGACGCAAGAAGAAACAUGUGGUUCUGUUGCGAAUCACCGCAGCGAUGCAGUGCCAUGGAAGCUGGAGAAUUUUUAUCUACUAUACUUGUUCGUUGCCUGCAUCAUAUUGCAGUUCCAAAGUCCACAUAAGGAAUUUUAAAUAAUACAUAAUUCAUUGGCGUGUACUCUGUCAUAGGAUGUUGCUUUACAUUUUGGGCGCACCAUGUUUUAACUGAGAAGGCAGUUGUUGGUACAGUUAGAGUUCAAAGAGGUCCUUCGACGAGGGUGUGUCAAAACUCAGCUAGGCGCUUCGGUGUCAACUGUGGUUCCUUCACUACCCUCCUCAUUCGGUGUUCCACCUCACCACUCCCCAGCAGUGGGAGCAGAGCAGCCGACGGGUUCCUGGCUUACCUGCCUUGCAAAGAGCUGGUGCUUUUUUGGAAAUUUGAUAACACCACAAGCAGCAAUCGAUUUUGAAAGCCAAAAAACAUCCAAGACAUGUACAGUGGGAAUACUACCAGUUUAGGAGCAAAGUAACCAUUACUAGAGUAAUGAAUAUGAGAAAUGAAUAGUUGAUGAAACUGAGCACUGUUGUAAUUCUCGACAGUGAAAUGGUCUUUUUUGUCCCAGUAAAGGUUGGAGGCAGAAUCAGCUUCAAUCUCGAGUACCCAAUUGUAGAGAAGAUGAAAGGAGGCACAACAUAUAUGGAAGAUGGUGACCAGAUAAGGAAGCAAUUUUUGGUGCACCUACUCAACUACAUCAACAGUGAAGCUGCACACAACAUUUCGGAUGUUUGAGAGAAUUGAUCAGCUUCAUCAGGAAAUAC